rnacentral:misc_RNA from 1 species
GAUGAAGAACGUAGCGAAAUGCGAUAAGUAGUGUGAAUUCAGAAUUCCGUGAAUCAUCGAAUCUUUGAACGCACAUUGCGCCUUCUGGUAUUCCGGAAGGCAUGCCUGUUCGAGAGUCAUUAACAACCGUUUCGAUCCCUUUCUUUCAGAAAUUACAAAGAGGAAAAGGGUUUGGUUAUGGUGGAGGAGGGAAAGGGAGCGUUUAGCCUGUAAAAAAAGAGGCUGUGUUCCGCCUCCCCCCCAAAAUUGUACAGGCGGUCGUGUGCGCCCACGCAUCGAGGUGUUGUAAAAGCUGCCACGGCACUUUUCACCUGUGCAGUGCGAGAUUGGCCAGCCGGUUUAAAAACCCCUCCAAACAAUCAAAGGUUGACCUCGGAUCAGGUAGGGAUACCCGCUGAACUUAAGCAUAUCAAUAAGCGGAGGA